rnacentral:rRNA from 1 species
CGGACGGGUGAGUAAUGUCUGGGAAACUGCCCGAUGGAGGGGGAUAACUACUGGAAACGGUAGCUAAUACCGCAUAACGUCGCAAGACCAAAGAGGGGGACCUUAGGGCCUCUUGCCAUCGGAUGUGCCCAGAUGGGAUUAGCUAGUAGGUGGGGUAACGGCUCACCUAGGCGACGAUCCCUAGCUGGUCUGAGAGAAUGACCAGCCACACUGGAACUGAGACACGGUCCAG